CAAUUUCUUGGGGCCCAAUUCUGCUCUUAUUAAAAUCAGUGAAAGUUCUGGCAUUGACUUAAAUGGGAGCAGAAUUGGGACCUAAGAUAACA
rnacentral:pre_miRNA from 1 species